AUUGAACGCUAGCGGGAUGCCUUACACAUGCAAGUCGAACGGAGUGGCGACCGGGUGAGUAAUGUAUCGGAACGUGCCCAGUAGCGGGGGAUAACUACGCGAAAGCGUAGCUAAUACCGCAUACUAUUGGCACCGCCGAUAUCGGAUUAGCUCGUUGGUGGGGUAACGGCUCACCAAGGCGACGAGCCGUCGCUGGGUUGAGAGGACGACCAGCCACAAUGGGACUGAGACAAGGCCCAGACUCCUACGGGAGGCAGCAGGUGGGAAUUUGGGACAAUGGGGGAAACCCUGAUCCAGCCAUCCCGCGUGUGCGAUGAAGGCCUUCGGGUUGUAAAGCACUUUCAGCGGGGAGGCGUUACCCGCAGAAGAAGCACCGGCUAACUCCGUGCCAGCAGCCGCGGUAAUAC
rnacentral:rRNA from 1 species